AGGACGAACGCUGGCGGCGUGCUUAACACAUGCAAGUCACGGGGGCCCGCAAGGGCAACCGGCGAACGGGUGCGUAACACGUGAACAACCUGCCCUCGUGUGGGGGAUAGCCAUGCUAACGCGUGGGUAAUACCGCAUACGUUCCCCUGGAGGAGUCUUUGGGGGAGGAAAGCUCCGGCGCACGGGGAGGGGUUCGCGGCCUAUCAGCUAGUUGGCGGGGUAAUGGCCCACCAAGGCGACGACGGGUAGCU
rnacentral:rRNA from 1 species